UUUUCCUUUCAUAUUUCUACGGAAAGUGAUUCAGUCUUCGCAACACUUCCUUCCAGUGUUUAAGAGAGAUUCCCUGAAUGUGCACAUGAAUCGCUAUCUCUUUACAUGUAUCCUUAACAACCGAGGUCCCGCCUUGGAAUCUAAUCUUGUUUCUUUCCCGCCACAGACAGUAAACUAACAUUCCAAACACGCUGGUCUUAACAACCGAGAUCCCGCCUUGGAAUCUAAUCUUGUUUCUUUCCCGCCACAGACAGUAAACUAACAUUCCAAACACACUGGUUGUUAUUUCAGCAUGCCCGUUUUUCCUUAUUGCAAUGUUGCUAACCCAGUCGACUUCGCUGUUCCAAUCACCAAUGGUUCUCUUGUAAUCUAGCCAUACGAGCAAUCUAUUCCAUAGUCCCCAAGAUAUCGGGCAAGCAAAAAAUAGAUGGUGAAAUGAUUCAUCUACUUGCUUGCAGAAUACACAUUGUUGAAGAAUCUGUAUCCCAAAGAUCAUGAGCCUCUCCGCCGUUGCCAGUCUUCUGCGCAGCGCUAGCCAAACAAUAAAUUUGAAUCUUGGGUGUAGUUUUGGCUGCAGUACUAUGCUUUUCCAUCGUACCCUAGGGGUUUGGGGGAAUUGGAGUCUGUAGAGUUUGUUAAUGUUGAAUCGUUCUCCCUUCUGUAGCUGGACGAGUCUACUUUUCAGGUCUCCCUGUAUACCUUGGGUGUUUGCUAUCAUUAAUCUGGUCUCAAAGAUCUUUCUCACAGCCCAGGCUGCUGUUUUAGGAGUAGGUACAUCCUCAAUGCUUUUGUUCUUAAUGUAGUACGUGCGCAUCCAUUUGAUCCACAGGCUGUCCUUUUUCAUUGUUACUGCCCACAGAUGCUUUGCCACUGCUGCCUUGUUCCAGAUUUGUAGGUUUAAAACAUUU
rnacentral:lncRNA from 1 species